UCCAGUGCUGGGAAGGAGCUCAGAGCACUAUGCUCUCUCCUGCUUGUGCUUAUUGGAGCUGGCAGUUGUCCCAUCGAAGACAGUGGUACCGGGAACAAUAAGUCCCUGGCCACUGCAAAGGCCUCUGGAGUUGAAGGCACCACAAUUUCACUGGCGCCUUGAUGAUUUCCCAAUGCUGGAGGGAGAUCCUGCAUCGGACUCAACGGUGCUGCCACGGGACUGGAGGUAGAAUGCCAGGCCAUGGUGGACAUCAAGGAAGUUAAGUCUCUUAUCUUCAGAAGACGCAUGGGGCGGUUUGUCCAAGCGGGCCAGGGAGGAAUUGGCAGGAGUACGGGACCAGCAUCAUUGGCAUACCCCAAGGAUUCCAGAAUGACUAUUGAGCAGGCCACUGUCCCUGCUGCCAUGCCACCACUGCAGAUGCCGCGCCAGUCUCACAGGCCAGCAGUGAUUCAACCCUUCUUGGCUGAACUCCUGCUCUGACUCAGACCAUUGUCCCCCCGAUGACUAGGGCAGAGCUGUAGAAGCGUGAAUCUACCAACUGACCCUUGCCGGUGAUCGCUGAGAAGAGGGUGAGGAUCAGUGCCUGCUCAAUGAGUGGUAUCAGAGAGGUCAUGCAACCAAAUGAAGGACAAUUCCAACUCAGGCCACGUGGCAGUAGAGAAGCAACUGGAGAGGCGCUGACCUGCACUGCCUCUUAUUUGGUUGGGUGCAAAAGGAUAGUCAUUACACAUGUGUGGACCACGACACUGCUUUGAAGAAUUUUUAGACUUGAGUGCAUGGAGCACAUGUGCACCCCAAAUGUAGAACACACACAGAGAUCAUCACUCAAAGAAGAGCGGUUGCUGUAACCUCUGGAUAGGCUAGUCCUUUCAAGACUCCCCUGACCAUAGAGGGGUAGUGGUGGUGGUUAUGGGGAGGACUGGUCUUGAAAGGCCGAGAUGGACACCAGAUGAAUUUUAAUUAGCUCAUUGGUAGGCCUGAUUCUUUCAGUUCUAGUAGGUGUUCUAAUAUCUUGAAUCUAUAAAGCAGAUGGAGACACGGCAUCCAGAUCAAGAACCUUUUCCACUUAGUAGGAAAUGUGGGUCCAGGAUGUGAGGAUACACCAACUGGACAACCUAAAAGCCUGACAAAGUCCCCACAGUUAGUUUUUUGUUUUCACAUUCCCAUAGUUCACUAUGUUUGAAUAUUUUUAGUUUAAUCUUAAUUCUCAAUGUCCUGAGUUUGUAAUGCCUGGUUUUGGUAUACCUACACUGUAUUUGUUUUUUUUUUUAAACCCGUAAAGUUGGGGAUAUGUAUUCUCAAUUUAACUCCAAUGGGUAGUUUUCUACUUGGCAAUUACUCUGUUUUGUUAAAGUUAUAUAAGAAAUUUACUGCAAAAUGUAAAUUAGAUUAGGAGAAAGAUGACUGAGAGAACUACCUCUAUUACAGUGAUUGCAUUUAAUAAAUUGAGCUAUUGACCCGGCUCCAUCUACUAGUCUACAAUCAUAAUGAACUUAGCUUAAUUGCACCUAAUUUCUUUAGUAUAGUCUAUGCACAAGACUUUAAUGCAUUAACUAUAUGAAAACGUGACGAGUGUGUUAGCAAUAAGAUAAUUCAGGACAAAAAUGGUCC